AUUCGGUGUAAGUUCGAAAAGACACCAUAGUUUGGUGACUAUUAGUCAUUUUAUAUUUGAAAGUAAAUAUAUGUUUUCAAUUGUAAUGACCUGCCUUAUCUCAUCUUAAUGGGUUACCUUGACAGAAUUCAAAAAGGGUCAAAUUCGGUCCAUUCAACACAAAAGUUGAACUUCACAGGCUCUGUAUUUACAGCUAUAAAUCCAUAUUGUGAAGAAAAGAGACUUGUAAAAGAAGAACAAGUUUAAGUAAUAUUGUUAAACACUGACAGAUCAAAUUGAGUGUCAGUAAUGGACUUUCAGAACUAUAGAGUGUUUUCGUUAUCGAACUUCUAAAUGAAUGCGUAUACCAUGCUUGUAGAAAGUAAAUUGAACUAAAAAAAGUCAUUAUUUGAUAUUUCAGAUCUUUAUCCUGCAUCUCAAAAAGAGAUAAAUACAAACACAUAAAUAACGAUGCAAGUAUCUCGAGAAUUUGAAGAAGAAAACAAUUCAGCAUUUGCAUAGUUUCCACAUACAAUAGAUGCAUAUUUAGGAAGUUAUGUACAUAAGAUUAAGAAAUUGAAUAAAACAAAAACGUUGAUAACGGUUAAGUGAUCGCAAGUAUCACCACGAGACUUUAGGAAGAGAGCAAUUCACCGAUUGUAUAAUUUCCGCAUAUAAUAGAUCUGAUGCAUUUAGGAAGUACAUGCACAUUAAUUGUAUAGAUAAAUAAGUAAGUGUGAGAAGUCCUGUAAAUAUAUGAAACUCGACCUGAUUUCGGGAUUUAAAUGACGAUUGGAAAAUCCAUUACAAUUCAAAUUGGCAUGGGUUUGACACAAAAAUAGAUAUACACAGGUGAAAGACAGGUAUUUUGUCAACAUAUAACUGGGAUAUAUGAAGAACAUCAAAUUGAAGUAUGGAAGUAGGACUAUUCUGUGUCAUUCUGUUUUUAUGCAGUUAAGCUGCAUUAUGCGAGCACCCUAGAUUUGUGUUCUACCCAAUAAAUCCUGAAAUACUUGCCAUUGUUAUUAUCUAGCCUGCUACUAUGUUAUAUAUAACUAAUUGAACACUUUUUUAAUACUUUU
rnacentral:lncRNA from 1 species